rnacentral:rRNA from 1 species
AGCAGUCGCCGCGGGAAUACGAAGGGGGCUAGCGUUGUUCGGAAUUACUGGGCGUAAAGCGCGUGUAGGCGGGCUUUUAAGUCAGGGGUGAAAUGCCAAGGCUCAACCUUGGAACUGCCUUUGAUACUGGAAGUCUUGAGUCCGGGAGAGGUGAGUGGAACUGCGAGUGUAGAGGUGAAAUUCGUAGAUAUUCGCAAGAACACCAGUGGCGAAGGCGGCUCACUGGCCCGGAACUGACGCUGAGACGCGAAAGCGUGGGGAGCAAACAGGAUUAGAUACCCGAGUAGUCCCUGUCUCUUAUAC